AACUCCUUGAAACGUUGUGCCUCUUCUGCACCACCGCAGGAUGGUCCAACAUCAGUGAAAAAGAGCCAUGCCAGCACUAAACACAGUGAGUUAACAGAUCCAUCGGGUGACAGCGAGCCUUAAGAAGUGGUUUGUCCUUCUUUAUAAGUGUAGUAAUACAGAAACUCCAGAAACCAUCGAAGAGAAUUUAAUCUUAAAAUUUAUUCUGGAUGUUUUAGAUAAAUCACAAUUGAAUUUCAGUAAUAGGUUAAGUAAUAAAUUUUCAUUGAAGGAUUCUAUGCAAAGUAAAUUUGAACAAAUUCUUCAACGUUAUUCAUAUAAAAUAGAU